GAUGAACGCUGGCGGCGUGCCUAAUACAUGCAAGUCGAGCGAACAGACGAGGAGCUUGCUCCUCUGACGUUAGCGGCGGACGGGUGAGUAACACGUGGAUAACCUACCUAUAAGACUGGGAUAACUGCGGGAAACCGGAGGUGAUACCGGAUAAUAUAUUGAACCGCAUGGUUCAAUAGUGAGAGUCGGUCUUUCUGUCACUGAUAGAAGGAGCCGCGGCGCAUUAGCUAGUUGGUAAGGUACAGGCUUACCAAGGCGACGAUGCGUAGCCGACCUAAGAGGGUGAUCGGCCACACUGGAACUGAGACACGGUCCAGACUCUGACGGGGAGCAGCGGUAGAGAUUCUUCCGCGAUGGGCGAGAGCCUGACGGAGCACCGCCGGGGGAGGGAUGAAGGACUUCGGAUCGUAAAGCUCUGUUGUUAGGAGAGAACAAAUGUGUACGUAACCAUGCUCUUCUUGACGGUACCUAAUCAGAAAGCCACGGCUAACUACGUG
rnacentral:rRNA from 1 species